rnacentral:rRNA from 1 species
AACGAACGCUGGCGGCAGGCUUAACACAUGCAAGUCGAACGCCCCGCAAGGGGAGUGGCAGACGGGUGAGUAACGCGUGGGAACAUACCCUUUCCUGCGGAAUAGCUCCGGGAAACUGGAAUUAAUACCGCAUACGCCCUACGGGGGAAAGAUUUAUCGGGGAAGGAUUGGCCCGCGUUGGAUUAGCUAGUUGGUGGGGUAAAGGCCUACCAAGGCGACGAUCCAUAGCAGGUCUGAGAGGAUGAUCAGCCACAUUGGGACUGAGACACGGCCCAAACUCCUACGGGAGGCAGCAGUGGGGAAUAUUGGACAAUGGGCGCAAGCCUUAUCCAGCCAUGCCGCGUGAGUGAUGAAGGCCUUAGGGUUGUAAAGCUCUUUCACCGAUGAAGAUAAUGACGGUAGUCGGAGAAGAAGCCCCGGCUAACUUCGUG